rnacentral:ncRNA from 1 species
AGGAACUACUAGGGGUGCAACAUGCUGAGAUAAGGAUAAUCCUUUAUCCCUUUGAACCUGAUCUGGGUAAUACCAGCGAAGGGAAGUAGUGAGGACGAGUC